rnacentral:rRNA from 1 species
UACAGGGAGUGCAAACGUUGCUCGGAAUCAUUGGGCGUAAAGAGCUCGUAGGUGGCUUGUCACGUCGGGUGUGAAGCUUGGGGCUUAACUCCAGGUCUGCAUUCGAUACGGGCUGGCUAGAGGUAGGUAGGGGAGAACGGAAUUCCUGGUGUAGCGGUGAAAUGCGUAGAGAUCCGGAGGAACACCGAAGGCGAAGGCAGUGUCCUGGCGAGUGACCGACGCUGAGGUGCGAAAGCCAGGGGAGCGAACGGG